rnacentral:rRNA from 1 species
CACGUAGGGCGCAAGCGUUGUCCGGAAUUAUUGGGCGUAAAGAGCUCGUAGGCGGUUUGUCGCGUCGGCCGUGAAAACUUGGGGCUUAACUCCAAGCUUGCGGUCGAUACGGGCAGACUUGAGUUCGGCAGGGGAGACUGGAAUUCCUGGUGUAGCGGUGAAAUGCGCAGAUAUCAGGAGGAACACCGGUGGCGAAGGCGGGUCUCUGGGCCGAUACUGACGCUGAGGAGCGAAAGCGUGGGGAGCGAACAGG